ACCGGCGCACGGGUGCGUAACGCGUAUGCAAUCUACCUUUUACAGAGGGAUAGCCCAGAGAAAUUUGGAUUAAUACCUCAUAGUAUGUGAGAAUCGCAUGGUUUUCACAUUAAAGUUCCAACGGUAAAAGAUGAGCAUGCGUCCCAUUAGCCAGAUGGUAAGGUAACGGCUUACCAUGGCUACGAUGGGUAGGGGUCCUGAGAGGGAGAUCCCCCACACUGGUACUGAGACACGGACCAGACUCCUACGGGAGGCAGCAGUGAGGAAUAUUGGACAAUGGGCGCAAGCCUGAUCCAGCCAUGCCGCGUGCAGGAUGACGGUCCUAUGGAUUGUAAACUGCUUUUGUACAGGAAGAAACACUCCCUCGUGAGGGAGCUUGACGGUACUGUAAGAAUAAGGAUCGGCUAACUCCGUGCCAGCAGCCGCGGUAAUACGGAGGAUCCAAGCGUUAUCCGGAAUCAUUGGGUUUAAAGGGUCCGUAGGCGGUUUAAUAAGUCAGUGGUGAAAGCCCAUCGCUCAACGGUGGAACGGCCAUUGAUACUGUUAAACUUGAAUUAUUAGGAAGUAACUAGAAUAUGUAGUGUAGCGGUGAAAUGCUUAGAGAUUACAUGGAAUACCAAUUGCGAAGGCAGGUUACUACUAAUGGAUUGACGCUGAUGGACGAAAGCGUGGGUAGCGAACAGGAGUAGAUACCCUGGUAGUCCACGCCGUAAACGAUGGAUACUAGC
rnacentral:rRNA from 1 species